UACGAAGGGUGCAAGCGUUACUCGGAAUUACUGGGCGUAAAGCGUGCGUAGGUGGUUUGUUAAGUCUGAUGUGAAAGCCCCGGGCUCAACCUGGGAAUUGCAUUGGAUACUGGCGGGCUAGAGUGCGGUAGAGGGUAGUGGAAUUCCCGGUGUAGCAGUGAAAUGCGUAGAGAUCGGGAGGAACAUCUGUGGCGAGGGCGACUGCCUGGACCAGCACUGACACUGAGGCACGAAAGCGUGGGGAGCAAACAGG
rnacentral:rRNA from 1 species